rnacentral:rRNA from 1 species
UACGGGGGGGGUAAGCGUUGUUCGGAAUUACUGGGCGUAAAGGGCUCGUAGGCGGCUUGUCGCGUCGGAUGUGAAAGCCCGGGGCUUAACCCCGGGUCUGCAUUCGAUACGGGCAGGCUAGAGUUCGGUAGGGGAGAUCGGAAUUCCUGGUGUAGCGGUGAAAUGCGCAGAUAUCAGGAGGAACACCGGUGGCGAAGGCGGAUCUCUGGGCCGAUACUGACGCUGAGGAGCGAAAGCGUGGGGAGCGAACAGG